rnacentral:rRNA from 1 species
GUCUUCUUGAUUAUAAUUUGAAGUCAGGCCUGCUCUAUGAAUUUUAAAUGGCCGCAGUAUUUUGACUGUGCUAAGGUAGCAUAAUAAUUAGUUUCUUAAUUAGAAGCUUGUAUGAAUGGUUCGAUGAAAGAACUUCUUUCUUAUAAUUAAUUUUUUUGAAUUUUAUCUUUAAGUUAAAAAGCUUAAAUUUUUUUAGGGGACGAGAAGACCCUUUAGAAUUUUAUAAAAUAAUAAAUUUAUUUAUUAUUUAGUAUUAAUUAAUUGAUUUAUUUUUUUAUUUAGUUGGGGUGACUAAAAAAUUUAAUUAACUUUUUUUAUUUUUUACUUUAUAAAAGGUUUUUUGAUCCGUUAUAACGAUUACAAGAAAAAAUUACCUAAGGGAUAACAGCGUUAUAAUUUUUUAGAGUUCAUAUCGAAAAAAUUGAUUGCGA